GAUGAACGCUGGCGGCGUGCCUAACACAUGCAAGUCGAGCGGCAGCGAGGGGUGCUUGCACCCUGUCGGCGAGCGGCGGACGGCUGAGUAACGCGUGGGAACGUGCCCCAAAGUGAGGAAUAACUGCCCGAAAGGGUAGCUAAUACCGCAUAUUAUCUUCGGAUCAAAGGAUUUAUCCGCUUUGGGAGCGGCUCGCGUCGGAUUAGGUAGUUGGUGAGGUAAUGGCUCACCAAGCCGACGAUCCGUAGCUGGUCUGAGAGGAUGACCAGCCAGACUGGAACUGAGACACGGUCCAGACUCCUACGGGAGGCAGCAGUGAGGAAUCGUCCACAAUGGGCGAAAGCCUGAUGGUGCAACGCCGCGUGCAGGACGAAGGCCUUCGGGUUGUAAACUGCUUUUAUAAGUGAGGAAUAUGACGGUAACUUAUGAAUAAGGAUCGGCUAACUACGUG
rnacentral:rRNA from 1 species